UGGGGGAUAUUGCACAAUGGGCGAAAGCCUGAUGCAGCGACGCCGCGUGGGGGAUGAAGGCCUUCGGGUUGUAAACUUCUUUUGCUCUGAACAAGGCGCACCAUGGGGUGUGUUGAGUGUAGGGGUUGAUUAGCGCCGGCUAACUACGUGCCAGCAGCCGCGGUAAUACGUAGGGCGCGAGCGUUGUCCGGAAUUAUUGGGCGUAAAGGGCUUGUAGGUGGCUGGUUGCGUCUGUCGUGAAAGCUCAUGGCUUAACUGAGGGUUUGCGGUGGGUACGGGCUGGCUUGAGUGCAGUAGGGGAGGCUGGAAUUCCUGGUGUAGCGGUGGAAUGCGCAGAUAUCAGGAGGAAUACCGGUGGCGAAGGCGGGUCUCUGGGCUGUUACUGACACUGAGGAGCGAAAGCAUGGGGAGCGAACAGG
rnacentral:rRNA from 1 species